AGCAUUGCGCAGCUACACAUGCAAGUCGAACGGUAGCACAGAAGUAAGCUUGGCUCCUCCGGGUGACGAAGUGGCGGACGGGUGAGUAAUGUCUGGGAAACUGCCUGAUGGAGGGGGAUAACUACUGGAAACGGUAGCUAAUACCGCAUAAUGUCGCAAGACCAAAGAGGGGGACCUUCGGGCCUCUUGCCAUCAGAUGUGCCCAGAUGGGAUUAGCUAGUAGGUGGGGUAACGGCUCACCUAGGCGACGAUCCCUAGCUGGUCUGAGAGGAUGACCAGCCACACUGGAACUGAGACACGGUCCAGACUCCUACGGGAGGCAGCAGUGGGGAAUAUUGCACAAUGGGCGCAAGCCUGAUGCAGCCAUGCCGCGUGUAUGAAGAAGGCCUUCGGGUUGUAAAGUACUUUCAGCGGGGAGGAAGGUGUUGAGGUUAAUAACCACAACAAUUGACGUUACCCGCAGAAAAAGGCCCGGCUAUCUCCGUGCCACCAGCCGCGGUAAUACUGAGGGUGCAUGCGUUAACCGGACUUCGGGGGCGA
rnacentral:rRNA from 1 species